GAUGAACGCUGGCGGCAUGCCUAACACAUGCAAGUCGAGCGGACGGACGGAGCUUGUGCCUGGCUUCUGCGAACGGCGGGUGAGUAAUUCCUACGAGGCUGCCUUGUCGUUGUGGAUAACAUCCCGUAACGUGACCUGAUAUCGUAUACGUCCUGAGUUAGAAAGUGAGGGAUCUUCGGUGCUAGAGCUAUUUGCUGUCCCUUAGCGGGAUUUGCUAGUUGCUGGGGUAAAGGGCUACCAAGGCGACGAUCCGUAACAGGUCUGAGAGGAUGACCAGUCACACUGGAACUGAGACACGGUCCAGACUCCUACGGGAGGCAGCAGUAGGGAAUAUUGGGCAAUGGGCGAAAGCCUGAUCAAGCCAGGCCGCGUGUGUGAAGAAGGUCUUCGGAUUGUAAAGCACUUUUAGUUGGGAGGAAGGGCAGUAAGAUAAUACCUUGCUGUUUUGACGGUACCAACAGAAUAAGCAACGGCUAACUUCGUG
rnacentral:rRNA from 1 species